UACGGGGGAGCAAGCGUUGUUCGGAUUUACUGGGCGUAAAGGGCGCGUAGGCGGUCAGCACAAGUCAGUUGUGAAAUCUCCGGGCUUAACUCGGAAAGGUCAACUGAUACUGUGCGACUAGAGUGCGGAAGGGGCAACUGGAAUUCUUGGUGUAGCGGUGAAAUGCGUAGAUAUCAAGAGGAACACCUGCGGCGAAGGCGGGUUGCUGGGCUGACACUGACGCUGAGGCGCGAAAGCUAGGGGAGCGAACGGG
rnacentral:rRNA from 1 species